rnacentral:RNase_P_RNA from 1 species
GAAGCAGACCGGGUGACCGCUGCCCGUAAGGGGAGAGGAAAGUCCGGGCUCCGAAGGGCAUGGUGCUGGAUAACGUCCAGCGGGGGUGACCCCAGGGAAAGUGCCACAGAGAGAAGUCCGCCUGCAAUGGAUCGUCACGCGCGAUCCGGAAACAGGUAAGGGUGAAAGGGUGAGGUAAGAGCUCACCGGGUCCGGCGGUGACGCCGGAUGCCAGGUAAACCCCACCAGGAGCAAGGCCGAAUAGGGAGGCGUCAAGGACGGCCCGUCCGUGCUUCCGGGUUGGCUGCUUGAGGCCGUCGGCAACGGCGGUCCUAGAUGAAUGGUCGCCGCCCUCUGUCGGGUAACCGGCGGAGGGAACAGAACCCGGCUUAUGGUCUGCUUCGGCC